CCUAGGAAAGUAGCGAAGCACAUGAUGACGGCUUCCAGGAAAAGCUUCUGGCAAUGCAUAUGCGGCCCGUACCAAAACCGACACAGGUGGGCAGGGAGAGAAUCCCGAGGUGAGCGAGAGAACUGUUGCCAAGGAACUCGGCAAAAUGACUCCGUAAGUUAGCGAGGAGGAGUGCUUAAGCAAUUAAGCCGCAGUGAAGAGGCCCAAGCGACUGUUUAACUAAAACACAGCUCUCUGCGAAGUCGCAAGACGAAGUAUAGGGGGUGACACCUGCCCGGUGCUGGAAGGUUAAGAGGAUCUGUUAAGAGCGAUCUGAAGCAGUGAUCCGAAGCCCCAGUGAACGGCGGCCGUAACGAUAACGGUCCUAAGGUAGCGAAAUUCCUUGUCAGGUAAGAUCUGACCCGCACGAAAGGUGUAACGAUUUGGGCGCUGUCUCGGCAGCAGACUCGGUGAAAUCUUAGUACCUGUGAAAAUGCAGGUUACCCGCAACUAGACGGAAAGACCCCAUGGAGCUUUACUGCAGCCUGAUAUUGAAUUCUGGUCAUACAUGUACAGGAUAGGUGGGAGACAAAGAGACGUGCACGCCAGUGCACGAGGAGUCGACGUUGGGAUACCACUCUUGUGUGACUGGGGUUCUAACCUGGUAUCGAGAACAGGUACGGGGAGAGUGUCAGGUGGGCAGUUUGACUGGGGCGGUCGCCUCCCAAAGAGUAACGGAGGCGCCCAAAGGUACGCUCAGAUUGGAUGGAAACCAAUCGUCGAGUGCAAUUGCAGAAGCGUGCUUGACUGUGAGACAGACAAGUCGAACAGGGACGAAAGUCGGGAAUAGUGAUCCGGCGGUGCCGAAUGGAAGGGCCGUCGCUCAACGGAUAAAAGCUACCCUGGGGAUAACAGGCUGAUCUCGCCCAAGAGUUCACAUCGACGGCAAGGUUUGGCACCUCGAUGUCGGCUCAUCGCAUCCUGGAGCUGGAUUCGGUUCCAAGGGUUGGGCUGUCCGCCCAUUAAAGCGGUACGCGAGCUGGGUUCAGAACGUCGUGAGACAGUUCGGUCCCUAUCUGUUGUGGGCGAAGGAGAUCUGCGGAGAGCUGUCCUCAGUACGAGAGGACCGGGAUGGACCUACCGCUGGUGCACCGGUUGUUCCGCCAGGGGCAUAGCCGGGUAGCUAAGUAGGGAAAGGAUAAGCGCUGAAAGCAUCUAAGCACGAAGCCUACUCCAAGAUGAGAUCUCCCAUUCGCAAGAAGUAAGACCCCUUAAAGACGAUAAGGUAGAUAGGCCAGGGAUGGAAGUGCAGUGAUGUACGGAGUUGACUGGUACUAAUCGGUCGAGGACUUAGU
rnacentral:rRNA from 1 species